UUCAUGUGCUGUGGUGGAAAGCUUUUGCGGUGUGGGAUGGGCCCGCGGCCUAUCAGCUUGUUGGUGGGGUAAUGGCCYACCAAGGCGACGACGGGUAGCCGGCCUGAGAGGGUGACCGGCCACACUGGGACUGAGAUACGGCCCAGACUCCUACGGGAGGCAGCAGUGGGGAAUAUUGCACAAUGGGCGCAAGCCUGAUGCAGCGACGCCGCGUGAGGGAUGACGGCCUUCGGGUUGUAAACCUCUUUCGCCAGGGACGAAGCGCAAGUGACGGUACCUGGAGAAGAAGGACCGGCCAACUACGUGCCAGCAGCCGCGGUAAUACGUAGGGUCCGAGCGUUGUCCGGAAUUACUGGGCGUAAAGAGCUCGUAGGUGGUUUGUCGCGUUGUUCGUGAAAACUCACAACUCAAUUGUGGGCGUGCGGGCGAUACGGGCAGACUGGAGUACUGCAGGGGAGACUGGAAUUCCUGGUGUAGCGGUGGAAUGCGCAGAUAUCAGGAGGAACACCGGUGGCGAAGGCGGGUCUCUGGGCAGUAACUGACGCUGAGGAGCGAAAGCGUGGGGAGCGAACAGGAUUAGAUACCCUGGUAGUCCACGCCGUAAACGGUGGGUACUAGGUGUGGGUUUCCUUCCUUGGGAUCCGUGCCGUAGCUAACGCAUUAAGUACCCCGCCUGGGGAGUACGGCCGCAAGGCUAAAACUCAAAGGAAUUGACGGGGGGCCCGCACAAGCGGCGGAGCAUGUGGAUUAAUUCGAUGCAACGCGAAGAACCUUACCCUGGGUUUGACAUGCACAGGACGCUGGUAGAGAUAUCAGUUCCCUUGUGGACCUGUGUGCAGUGGUGCAUGGCUGUCGUCAGCUCGUGUCGUGAGAUGUGGGUUUAAGUCC
rnacentral:rRNA from 1 species